AUUGAACGCUGGCGGCAUGCCUUACACAUGCAAGUCGAACGGCAGCACGGGAGCAAUCCUGGUGGCGAGUGGCGAACGGGUGAGUAAUAUAUCGGAACGUGCCCAGUCGUGGGGAUAACGUAGCGAAAGCUACGCUAAUACCGCAUACGAUCUACGGAUGAAAGCGGGGGAUCGCAAGACCUCGCGCGAUUGGAGCGGCCGAUAUCAGAUUAGGUAGUUGGUGAGGUAAAGGCUCACCAAGCCGACGAUCUGUAGCUGGUCUGAGAGGACGACCAGCCACACUGGGACUGAGACACGGCCCAGACUCCUACGGGAGGCAGCAGUGGGGAAUUUUGGACAAUGGGCGCAAGCCUGAUCCAGCAAUGCCGCGUGCAGGAUGAAGGCCUUCGGGUUGUAAACUGCUUUGUAC
rnacentral:rRNA from 1 species